rnacentral:rRNA from 1 species
ACUGCUCAGUAACACGUGGACAACCUGCCCUUAGGACGGGGAUAAACCCGGGAAACUGGGUAUAAUACCCGAUAGGUCUCGAUUGCUGGAAUGCAUCGAGAUUUAAAGCUCCGGCGCCUAAGGAUGGGUCUGCGGCCUAUCAGGUAGUAGUGGGUGUAGCGUACCUACUAGCCUACGACGGGUACGGGUUGUGAGAGCAAGAGCCCGGAGAUGGAUUCUGAGACACGAAUCCAGGCCCUACGGGGUGCAGCAGGCGCGAAAACUUUACAAUGCUGGCAACAGCGAUAAGGGAACCUCGAGUGCCAGGUUACAAAUCUGGCUGUCGAGAUGCCUAAAAAGCAUUUCAUAGCAAGGGCCGGGCAAGACCGGUGCCAGCCGCCGCGGUAACACCGGCGGCUCGAGUGGUAACCGUUAUUAUUGGGUCUAAAGGGUCUGUAGCCGGCCGGAUAAGUCUCUUGAGAAAUCUGGCAGCUUAACUGUCAGGCUUUCAGGAGAUACUGUCUGGCUCGAGGCCGGGAGAGGUGAGAGGUACUUCAGGGGUAGGGGUGAAAUCUUGUAAUCCUUGAAGGACCACCAGUGGCGAAGGCGUCUCACCAGAACGGACCUGACGGCAAGGGACGAAAGCUAGGGGCACGAACCGGAUUAGAUACCCGGGUAGUCCUAGCCGUAAACGAUACUCGCUAGGUGUCGGCCACGGUGCGACCGUUGUCGGUGCCGUAGGGAAGCCGUGAAGCGAGCCACCUGGGAAGUACGGCCGCAAGGCUGAAACUUAAAGGAAUUGGGCGGGGGAGCAC